rnacentral:pre_miRNA from 1 species
GAGACACCCUUCUGGGGCAAGACUUGCUUCAGUGGGGCUUUGGUGCACUGAGUCUGCCCCCUGAGUGUGUCCCU